rnacentral:lncRNA from 1 species
AAACCAUGCGAAAGGGGCAAUUGUAAGUGCUGCAAAGUCGCCGACAUCGAAACCCAAUUCGUCAGCACAGUCACAAAGAAAAAAAUACAACAUAUUUAUAACAUCAAAUUGCAAAACGCAAAAUUGCAUUUAUGUUCUAACAUGUGGAACUUGCAAAUUACAAUAUGUUUGUGAAACAGAAACACCAUUUAACAUCGGACUAAAUAACCAUCGGUCAUUUUAUACAAAAGAAAGA